CCUAGAGUCAGUGGGCUUUGCCUGCUAUCUCUUACCCAUGUUUUAUGAGCACUUACGUUUCCUCGGUGGGUUCGCCCACCGAUUGGACCACUUAAACCCUUUGCAGUUUUGUAAUCAGCGUCUGAAAAACUUAAUAGUUA
rnacentral:misc_RNA from 1 species